rnacentral:rRNA from 1 species
AUUGAACGCUGGCGGCAGGCUUAACACAUGCAAGUCGAGCGAGCGGCGGACGGGUGAGUAAUGUCUGGGAAACUGCCUGAUGGAGGGGGAUAACUACUGGAAACGGUAGCUAAUACCGCAUACCAUCAGAUGUGCCCAGAUGGGAUUAGCUAGUGGGUGGGGUAAUGGCUCACCUAGGCGACGAUCCCUAGCUGGUCUGCUAGGAUGACCAGCCACAGUGAAACUGUGACACGGUCCAGACGCCUACGGGAGGCAGCAGUGGGGAAUAUUGCACAAUGGGCGAAAGCCUGAUGCAGCGACGCCGCGUGUGUGAAGAAGGCCUUCGGGUUGUAAAGCACUUUCAGCGAGGAGGCGUUACUCGCAGAAGAAGCACCGGCUAACUCCGUGCCAGCAGCCGCGGUAAUUC